GGGUUAAAUUGACAGGACCCACACUACUUUGUUAAGAUAAAGUGGUCUGGGUGACUUUAGUGAAAACGUUCACUGAUCAGCAUGCCAAACUAAUGGUCGAUACCGGACAUUCUAAAUAGAUUGCCAGGGGAUUCCACCUGCAAACGUUCACUGAUCAGAAUGCCAAACUAAUGGUCGAUACCGGACAUUCUAAAUAGAUUACCAGGGGAUUCCACCUGCAAACGUUCACUGAUCAGAAUGCC